ensembl:lncRNA TTTY11 testis expressed transcript, Y-linked 11
GAUGGAGCAAGAAUCAUCUUGUAACAGGAAUAGUCAGCAUUUCACAUAAAUUAACCUUGAAGAGAGAAAUGCAAAAGAAGAAGGAAAUUUUCCAUCUUACAAAACUACAUUACUUUAAAAGGGACCUCUCAUGGUGCACCACCUGAGCGAGGGCCUUGGAUGUCUUAUGGUGGAAGCAGCUGCCAUGAUUAUAACAAUACAUGAGAUAGAUACGGCAGAAGUCAGGAAAGUUGCUCAAGGAGCUAUGGCGAUUUUUAUUCUUGUGGUCAUGAGAACAUUGGCAGAAAAGACCAAAGGAAUCCACCUUCUCUGGAUAGGGUGCACUCUGCUCCUCUUGAAGCAUAUGGUAGUUCAAGUUAUGUGCCAUCUACAGGAGAUGGUGGGGAAAGUCAAUCUGAAAAAGGCGACUAAAGCGGAUUUUAAACCAGAGAGGUGCUGUUUCAGAGAAACUAGGCAACAACAUCAUUCUGCAACAACCAGCCGUGGUUGAUGGGUCUGCCAGGCUCAAAUCAUUGGCCAACUGCCAAAUCCCAUCCUGGUUUUUUUCUGCAAAACAGCCAAUGCUGUGACAAAGUGGCAGCUUGGUGAUUAUCCACAGAAGGGGCAUGUGACCCCACCCCAUUGCAGCAGCCAUACUUUUGACCAUCCUAGCCCUGUGUGCUCCAUCCAUCCCCAGGCUGAAAAUCGGAGGCAAUUUAGUGGUUAAGGAUGAAGUUUCUGGCCCUACCUGGACCCAGCAGAAUCAAAGUGGAUCCAGUGUCAGCUCCAGCCUAUUCAAUUUCAAUUUUUGAAAUGGAGUCAUUACUAAUAAAUAACCUACCAGCCAAAAAAAAAGAA